AUGAGCUCAAAGGACAGAAAUGGUAGGGACCUAACAGAAGCAGAUUUUAAGAAGAGGUGGCAAGAAUACACAGAACUGUACAAAAAAGAUCUUCAUGACCCAGAUAAUCACAAUGGUGUGAUCACUAAUCUAGAGCCAAACAUCCUGGAAUGUGAAGUCAAGUGGGCCUUAGAAGGCAUCACUACAGACAAAGCUAGUGCAGGUGAUGGAAUUCCAGUUGAGCUGUUUCAAAUCCUGAAAGAUGAUGCUGUGAAAGUGCUGCACUCAAUAUGCCAGCUAAUGUGGAAAACUCAGCAGUGGCCACAGGACUGGAAAAGGUCAGUUUUCGUUCCAAUCCCAAAGAAAGGCAAUGCCAAAGAAUGCUCAAACUACCGUACAAUUGAACUCAUCUCACACGCUAGUAAAGUAAUGCUCAAAAUUCUCCAAGCCAGGCUUCAGCAAUACGUGAACUGUGAACUUCCAGAUGUUCAAGCUGGUUUUAGAAAAGGCAGAGUAACCAGAGAUCAAACUGCCAACAUCCACUGGAUCAUUGAUAGAGCAAGAGAAUUCCAGAAAAACAUCUAUUUCUGCUUUAUUGACUAUGCCAAAGCCUUUGACUGUGUGGAUCAUAAUAAACUGUGGGAAAUUCUGAAAGAGAUGGGAAUACCAGACCACCUGACCUGCCUCUUGAGAAACCUGUAUGCAGGUCACGAAGCAACAGUUAGAACUGGACAUGGACCAGCGGACUGGUUCCAAAUAGGGAAAGGAGUACAUCAAGGCUGUAUAUUGUCACCCUGGUUAUUUAACUUAUAUGCAGAGUACAUCAUGAGAAACGCUGGACUGGAAGAAACACAAGCUGGAAUCAAGAUUGCCAGGAGAAAUAUCAAUAACCUCAGAUAUGCAGAUGACACCACCCUUAUGGCAGAAAGUGAAGAAGAACUAAAGAGCCUCUUGAUGAAAGUGAAAGAGGAGAGUGAAAAAGUUGGCUUAAAGCUCAACAUUCAGAAAACUAAGAUCAUGGCAUCUGGUCCCAUCACUUCAUGGGAAAUAGAUGGGGAAACAGUGGAAACAGUGUCAGACUUUAUGUUUUGGGGCUCCAAACUCACUGCAGAUGGUGAUUGCAGCCAUGAAAUUAAAAGACGCUUACUCCUUGGAAGAAAAGUUAUGACCAAACUAGAUAGCAUAUUGAAAAGCAGAGACAUUACUUUGUCAACAAAGGUCCAUAUAGUCAAGGCUAUGGUUUUUCCUGUGGUCAUGUAUGGAUGUGGGAGUUGGACUAUGAAGAAAGCUGAGCACUGA
rnacentral:lncRNA from 1 species